rnacentral:rRNA from 1 species
CAGUCGACGGCAGCAUAGGAGCUUGCUCCUGAUGGCGAGUGGCGAACGGGUGAGUAAUAUAUCGGAACGUGCCCUAGAGUGGGGGAUAACUAGUCGAAAGACUAGCUAAUACCGCAUACGAUCUACGGAUGAAAGUGGGGGAUCGCAAGACCUCAUGCUCCUGGAGCGGCCGAUAUCUGAUUAGCUAGUUGGUGGGGUAAAAGCCUACCAAGGCAACGAUCAGUAGCUGGUCUGAGAGGACGACCAGCCACACUGGGACUGAGACACGGCCCAGACUCCUACGGGAGGCAGCAGUGGGGAAUUUUGGACAAUGGGGGCAACCCUGAUCCAGCAAUGCCGCGUGAGUGAAGAAGGCCUUCGGGUUGUAAAGCUCUUUUGUCAGGGAAGAAACGGUAGUAGCGAAUAACUAUUACUAAUGACGGUACCUGAAGAAUAAGCACCGGCUAACUACGUGCCAGCAGCCGCGGUAAUACGUAGGGUGCAAGCGUUAAUCGGAAUUACUGGGCGUAAAGCGUGCGCAGGCGGUUGUGUAAGUCAGAUGUGAAAUCCCCGGGC